GACGGAAGGUGCAAGCGUUGCUCGGAAUCACUGGGCGUAAAGGGCGUGUAGGCGGCCAGGUAGGUCGGUUGUGAAAACUGGAGGCUCAACCUUCAGAGGUCGACCGAAACCAUCUGGCUAGAGUCCGGGAGAGGAGAGUGGAAUUCCUGGUGUAGCGGUGAAAUGCGCAGAUAUCAGGAAGAACACCCGUGGCGAAAAGCGGCUCUCUGGAACGGUACUGACGCUGAGACGCGAAAGCGUGGGGAGCGAACAGG
rnacentral:rRNA from 1 species